AAUGAAGGAGCUUUUCCCAUGAUGCAGUGUGAUAAGGAUUGGCCUACAUGUAGUCCAGCAAGCCACCGCUGAUGUUUCCUUGAUUAGGUCUCUUAUCUUCCAUUGAGCUGCCUCUGAUGAAGGUCGCUGACAGCAGGAUGGCUGGGAAAACAUCGGACAGCUCCAUCAAAUGGCAGCUCUGCUAUGACAUGUCAGCCAGGACCUGGUGGAUGAGUCGGUGUCCCUUGAGAAGUCCAUUGCGAAUACUUGAUUUAAAGACUUACACAGCUGAUUGUUUAUUUGCUUUUUAAUUAUGUUAUUGUGUUGCCUGAGAAGAUGCAGAUGAUGGACAAGGACAUGUUCGGAGAUGAAGUAACAAGUUGAAAAUAUUUGCACAAGUCAUUUAGACUCAGGCGUGGUGUGUAAGGGUGCUGUUCUUAGGAUGAUUCCGUUUUAAGGGACUGUGUUAAUUUGGGAC
rnacentral:lncRNA from 1 species